CACCUUUUUUUUUUUUUAAAUCCUCUCUUUGUGGCAGAGUGCAUACUGGGGUUUUAUUACUGGCUCUGGGUUUUCUGGAUACAUGUGCCAACCAUUAUGCUUAGCCAGUUCGUCCUUAAUUUUUCUACUGGAGUUCUCGGCAGUGAUGGAAAAGAUCUGUGCUUCUCUUUCAGUCAAGAUCUGCACAGCAGCGAUCUUGAGGCAGACCGCUUGUCUUAUGAACUAUAAACUCGUCGUCUUAGUGCUAUGAGGCUGCCAGAAAGUUCCCACUUAGUUCACAGAAUUGGAGUCUGCUUGGGUUUUUUCUUUCCUUAACCGGAGAGUUUUCUAUAUAGAGGAAUCUGGAAGCAGAAGUCUCCUCCCGCCCACUGUGAGAAAUUUGGAAUUUCGGACCUGUGCGAGCACAUUGGUCCCUGGAUUCAGCAGAUAGACGUAAAAUGUAUGAGCGGCACAAAAGGCGCUAUAGUCUGUGUGACAUCUCCAAGGUGGACAGGACUGUCGAUGUGGUGUUGCUGAAGAUCAACCGAGAAAGCUGGUGUGCCAUAGAGCCCUGCCCUGAAGCAGCAUCUCUCUUAGCUUCCAAACAGAGCUCAGAAUGCAGAAGCUUCAUAGAUGUUGGACUGGGCACGGAGUGUGCCACAAAAGAAGGCGUGCUCCAGAGAGAGUCAGGGAGUGAUUCUGACCUCUUUCACUCACCCAGUGAUGAAAUGGACAGCAUCAUCUUCUCAAAGCCUGAGGAAGAGCAGUUGCUUUGUGA
rnacentral:lncRNA from 1 species